GCAACCAUCGCUCGAUACAAUACUAUGCAUUCUGGAUUUGGGGACUCUUAAGAUACCCUGGUGGCAUGUCUGGUGGGUGAAGGUGCCUCUCCUCUACAUCCCUCUGAUUUGAUAGAUGUUUCAUAGGCAGUUAUGUCUUGAAGGAGGACAGGCAGGGUUUCGUGCAAGAUGGAGGAUGCAAAUGGACGUCACAGUGAAAAGGAAGUUUGCUCAAGACACAGCUGCAGACAGAGAAAGACGGAACAGCAGCAUCCUUACCCAAGUUAUGAAAACUACUGAAAACAGAACUGUUCACCAACCUUGUAUUUCUUGUACUCAUACCUGAACUUGUCUUAUCUUCCUGGCACUGAUUCUGCUGAUAACGGCUAUUUUGAAGAAGAGUCUACUUGCAAUGACUGUGAUAUGUGGUUGUUUUACCCUACUAAAUGUA